UACGGAGGGGGCUAGCGUUGUUCGGAAUUACUGGGCGUAAAGCGCACGUAGGCGGCUUUGUAAGUUAGAGGUGAAAGCCCGGGGCUCAACUCCGGAAUUGCCUUUAAGACUGCAUCGCUAGAAUUGUGGAGAGGUAAGUGGAAUUCCGAGUGUAGAGGUGAAAUUCGUAGAUAUUCGGAAGAACACCAGUGGCGAAGGCGGCUCACUGGCCCGAUACUGACGCUGAGGCACGGAAAGCGUGGGGAGCAAACAGG
rnacentral:rRNA from 1 species